AAAAUGCCAUGAAACACCAAUGUGAAAUUUCUAAAGAUAGCUAUAGUACUUGGCUCAAGAUUUAGGAAUCUGGAGUGCCUUCCAAAAUCUGAGAGGGAUGAGGUGUGGAGCAGGCUUUCAAAAGUCUUAAAAGAGCAACAGUCUGAUGC